AUACGUAGGUGACAAGCGUUAUCCGGAUUUACUGGGCGUAAAGGGCGUGUAGGCGGUCUUGCAAGUCAGAAGUGAAAUUCCUGAGCUCAACUCGGGCGCUGCUUCUGAAACUGCAGGACUUGAGUGCUGGAGGGGAUAGCGGAAUUCCUAGUGGAGCGGUAAAAUGCGCAGAUAUUAGGAAGAACACCGGUGGCGAAGGCGGCUAUCUGGACAGUAACUGACGCUGAGGCGCGAAAGCGUGGGGAGCAAACAGGAUUAGAUACCCGGGUAGUCCACGCCGUAAACGAUGAAUACUAGGUGUAGGGGGUAUCGACUCCCUCUGUGCCGCAGUUAACACAAUAAGUAUUCCGCCUGGGGAGUACGGCCGCAAGGUUGAAACUCAAAGGAAUUGACGGGG
rnacentral:rRNA from 1 species